rnacentral:lncRNA from 1 species
AGUCAUAUUACAUAUCUCUUGUAUUGUGAGCUUCGAUUACGUGUCCAUUUGCAAUUUUGUAGACUUGUAAUUAUUGAUUGAUUUUGGUUGAUGUUUAACUCCACUUCUGUAUAAACCGAUUUUUUUGUAGACUUGUAAUUAUUGAUUGAUUUUGGUUGAUGUUUAACUCCACUUCUGUAUAAACCGAUUGGGUGAUUUCCGUUGU